AAACAGCCCAGAUGCUGGGUCCCCAGGGCUGGUUAAAGGAGGAAGUGAAGCCAGGUGAACAGCACUUGAGGGGGCAGUAGAGACCCUUCCCUUUCUGGAAUAAUACAAACCCUGAUGGAUCCCUCACCGCAGUGACAAGAGGGCAGCCUCCCUGUGCAGACAGAGGGGCUGGUCAUGUGCUAAUGCCUUCCUACAAGAGUGGAGUCUCCAAAUCACAAAGCUUCUCAGAUCACAGCGGGGAAAAGAAUCACAUCUUUCUCUCCUGUGUUGCUUCACCACUGAGAAAAAAAAAAAGGAAAAGAGAAAUCCACUGACCCUGAAAAUAGCUCUCUGUCUCCUCCCUCCCAGACAAAUUCACAUUAUCACCUUUCCCUGCAGCGGGGUGAUAAUUAAUGUUCCACCCGAGAGAGGUUUCGUUAUUCCAUCAGAAUUACCUAUUAAUUUUCUGGAUUCUUCUGACGAAGCGGUGAACUUGUCAUGAAGGGCACGUUGUUCAGAACGUGAAAUAUCCUUUCAUUUUCAACAGGUAAAUCAAGGCCAAAUCAACCUAGACAUGUUUAAUUUCCUCUCUCGACAUGGUUCCCUCUGUUCUCAUGGCUGUGGAUGUUUCUUUUUUUCAAGAACAUUUUCUAAGUUCUCUGCUCUCGUGCUGGGCAAAUCGUUUGGGCUUCAUCAGUAGCUUCUAUUGUUUCCUAGCUUCUCAGUAGAGGAAGGUUCACGCUGUUUUCUUAAACUGGAAAACUGAACAUUUCCUGCUCAGAAUGGGAGAGAGACCUCAUUCCAACACUUGCAUCCACUGAUUCUCUCAUGGGACUUCUCCUGCCCAGUGGUUUUGUGGGUUCUCCCGAUUUGCCCACACCUUGAUGUGCUUCUCUGCAAAAAUGUUGUCAGUGGGUAUGUAUACCUUAAUCCCUCUGCCUCUCACAACAGGGCUUCCCUCUCUCAACAAGUCUGUACCAAAAAUGUCUCAGGAAAACACACCAAGGGCAGCCCUGCUGGAGAAAAAAAAGUGAAAGUCGCUCAGUCGUGUCCGACUCUUUGCAACCUCAUGGACUA
rnacentral:lncRNA from 1 species